rnacentral:rRNA from 1 species
UACAGCGACUGCGAAUGGCUCAUUAUAUAAGUUAUCGUUUAUUUGAUAGUACCUUACUACUUGGAUAACCGUGGUAAUUCUAGAGCUAAUACAUGCUAAAAAUCCCGACUUCGGAAGGGAUGUAUUUAUUAGAUUAAAAACCAAUGCCCUCUGGGCUCCUUGGUGAUUCAUAAUAACUUUUCGAAUCGCAUGGCCUUGCGCCGGCGAUGGUUCAUUCAAAUUUCUUCCCUAUCAACUUUCGAUGUUUGGGUAUUGGCCAAACAUGGUCGCAACGGGUAACGGAGGGUUAGGGCUCGACCCCGGAGAAGGAGCCUGAGAAACGGCUACUACAUCCAAGGAAGGCAGCAGGCGCGCAAAUUACCCAAUCCCGAUUCGGGGAGGUAGUGACAAUAAAUACUGAUACAGGGCUCUUUUGGGUCUUGUAAUUGGAAUGAGUACAAUUUAAAUCCCUUAACGAGGAACAAUUGGAGGGCAAGUCUGGUGCCAGCAGCCGCGGUAAUUCCAGCUCCAAUAGCGUAUAUUAAAGUUGUUGUGGUUAAAAAGCUCGUAGUUGAACCUUGGGCCUGGCUGGCCGGUCCGCCUCACCGCGUGUACUGGUCCGGCCGGGCCUUUCCCUCUGUGGAACCUCAUGCCCUUCACUGGGUGUGGCGGGGAAACAGGACUUUUACUUUGAAAAAAUUAGAGUGCUCCAGGCAGGCCUAUGCUCGAAUACAUUAGCAUGGAAUAAUGAAAUAGGACGUGUGGUUCUAUUUUGUUGGUUUCUAGGACCGCCGUAAUGAUUAAUAGGGACAGUCGGGGGCAUCAGUAUUCAAUUGUCAGAGGUGAAAUUCUUGGAUUUAUUGAAGACUAACUACUGCGAAAGCAUUUGCCAAGGAUGUUUUCAUUAAUCAGGAACGAAAGUUAGGGGAUCGAAGACGAUCAGAUACCGUCGUAGUCUUAACCAUAAACUAUGCCGACUAGGGAUCGGACGAUGUUAUUUUUUUGACGCGUUCGGCACCUUUACGAGAAAUCAAAGUGCUUGGGCUCCAGGGGGAGUAUGGGUCGCAAGGCUGAAACUUAAAGAAAUUGGACGGAAGGCACCCACCAGGGGUAA